rnacentral:rRNA from 1 species
UACGGGGGGGGGAAGCGUUGUUCGGAAUUACUGGGCGUAAAGGGUGCGCAGGCGGCUCCGCAUGUCGGGCGUGAAAUCCCCGGGCUUAACCUGGGAAUUGCGUCCGAAACUAUGGAGCUGGAGUGUGGCAGAGGGAGGUGGAAUUCCACGUGUAGCGGUGAAAUGCGUAGAGAUGUGGAGGAACACCGAUGGCGAAGGCAGCCUCCUGGGCCAACACUGACGCUCAUGCACGAAAGCGUGGGUAGCAAACAGG